rnacentral:rRNA from 1 species
AGAGUUUGAUCCUGGCUCAGAACGAACGCUGGCGGCGUGGAUAAGACAUGCAAGUCGAACGAGAGAAUUGCUAGCUUGCUAAUAAUUCUCUAGUGGCGCACGGGUGAGUAACACGUGAGUAACCUGCCCCCGAGAGCGGGAUAGCCCUGGGAAACUGGGAUUAAUACCGCAUAGUAUCGAAAGAUUAAAGCAGCAAUGCGCUUGGGGAUGGGCUCGCGGCCUAUUAGUUAGUUGGUGAGGUAACGGCUCACCAAGGCGAUGACGGGUAGCCGGUCUGAGAGGAUGUCCGGCCACACUGGAACUGAGACACGGUCCAGACACCUACGGGUGGCAGCAGUCGAGAAUCAUUCACAAUGGGGGAAACCCUGAUGGUGCGACGCCGCGUGGGGGAAUGAAGGUCUUCGGAUUGUAAACCCCUGUCAUGUGGGAGCAAAUUAAAAAGAUAGUACCACAAGAGGAAGAGACGGCUAACUCUGUGCCAGCAGCCGCGGUAAUACAGAGGUCUCAAGCGUUGUUCGGAAUCACUGGGCGUAAAGCGUGCGUAGGCUGUUUCGUAAGUCGUGUGUGAAAGGCGCGGGCUCAACCCGCGGACGGCACAUGAUACUGCGAGACUAGAGUAAUGGAGGGGGAACCGGAAUUCUCGGUGUAGCAGUGAAAUGCGUAGAUAUCGAGAGGAACACUCGUGGCGAAGGCGGGUUCCUGGACAUUAACUGACGCUGAGGCACGAAGGCCAGGGGAGCGAAAGGGAUUAGAUACCCCUGUAGUCCUGGCAGUAAACGGUGCACGCUUGGUGUGCGGGGAAUCGACCCCCUGCGUGCCGGAGCUAACGCGUUAAGCGUGCCGCCUGGGGAGUACGGUCGCAAGAUUAAAACUCAAAGAAAUUGACGGGGACCCGCACAAGCGGUGGAGUAUGUGGCUUAAUUCGAUGCAACGCGAAGAACCUUACCUGGGCUUGACAUGUAAUGAACAACAUGUGAAAGCAUGCGACUCUUCGGAGGCGUUACACAGGUGCUGCAUGGCCGUCGUCAGCUCGUGUCGUGAGAUGUUUGGUUAAGUCCAGCAACGAGCGCAACCCCUGUUGCCAGUUACCAGCACGUGAAGGUGGGGACUCUGGCGAGACUGCCCAGAUCAACUGGGAGGAAGGUGGGGACGACGUCAGGUCAGUAUGGCCCUUACGUCCGGGGCGACACACGUGUUACAAUGGCGUGGAACAGAGGGAAGCCACCUGGCGACAGGGAGCGGAACCCGAAAACACGUCUCAGUUCGGAUUGGAGUCUGCAACUCGACUCCAUGAAGCUGGAUUCGCUAGUAAUCGCGCAUCAGCCAUGGCGCGGUGAAUACGUUCCCGGGCCUUGUACUCACCGCCCGUCA